UAGCAUAACUUAUUCCCAAGGUAAAUCCAUAAUUUGAAGAUUUAUCUUUUUUUAUGGCAUCCAAUAAAUCUCUCGAAUUAUCGUAAAACUCAAAAGAGAAUCCGGAAUCAGCAUGAGCCUGAAAUGAAAAGAAGAGGCAUUACUUUUGCAGCUAUGAUCUGCCUUCUUUACCCUAUAACUCUCUGUGCUGAAGUAUCUGAUCCUGCCCCAACUGAAGUCAGUGGUAAGGUUCUUGGCCCUAAAUAUUUAAAAUUUUUAUCAAUGACUUGGAAGAAAACAUGAAGUCAUGACUGCUAAAGUUUGUAGGUGACUCACAGAUCAGGGGAGUGUGCCUAAAAGCCCGUGCCUCCAUGUGCUGGGAAAUGUACAAACAGGUAACAGAGGCAUUCCCUGCCCCAAAGAGGCUAUAGACACAAGAAAGCAACCAGUCCAUUCUGACCACUGGCUUAACUGACAGUUCACAGGAGCUGGAGUAUUGACAUCUCUUCUGGCUCUUCUGAAGAGAGUAAAUGAAACUGGCCUAAGUUUUGGAGUGGAGUUUUAAGAAGAGAUAAUAGCUGUGGAGCCAAGCAGCAGAAGGAAAAUCGUAUCUAGAGGAAACUAGAAACUUUUGCUGGAGAGAGUUGGAUCCAAACCACAGGUGGUGAAAAUCAGUGUAACUGCACUGAGGUCAUUGGAGCUACACUAGGCUGUGCCAGCUAAAAAUCUGACUAAUAGAAUUUGCCAGUGGCAGAAGAAAAAACAGGAACUGGAUGUCUUCAUCUCCUGUUUCCUGCUCUACCAAUAGAUUACCUCCUUUUCCAGUAUGGCGUAUGUGAUAAUGGGUGUUGUAAAAACCAAACAUAAAGCUCCUAAUAAAUAAUGGAUUAUACCCACGUUCUAGAAUAUGACCAGAAACAGAAUGCUGGAGAUGGAAGAGAAAGCUGAUUUGAAUUCACACUGAGAAUCCAAGUAAAAAUAACAAACAGCAUUUUGACCUAGAAGCUUCUUUUGAGGACAAUUUGUAAAGGAAAGCAUAUAAUUAAUAUGAGAGGAAAUUUAAAGGUGGAGGCUACGAAUAUAAUAGACACAGAAGAUACAGUAGGAGAGGGUGUUGCAAAAGGAUAAGGAGCAACUACUACAUUAAGGAAAAAGAAAGCAAAAUAAUCUGUAGUGAAGUGGAGGAAUAGCAAAAAUAUAAAAGUUUAGAGUGAAAUCCACUUUUUACUUUUCCUCUCACAUCUCGCCCCCAAAUUGUCAAGAUAAUGUAAUUACAAGUGCAUGAACAUGGCAUUACAAUAUCAACAGAGUUAAAAAAAAUUAAUGGAAAUUUGGAACUGAUUCUGAAAUGCGUAGAUGGAAUGAAACUGUCAAUACAAUUCUAAAUGUGAUUGGGCUAAAUUGUACUCUUCCUUAUGCCUGUGAAAUCCCUUUGCCAUCAGUCUAUUGCACUGGGUUUUUAUCGGUAUAACUGAGAGCAGAAUAACAAUUCAAAUCUGUAAAGACCACGGGUCAAAUUCUCUUCUGGUGUAAAUAAGUAAAACUCCACUGAAGUCAGAGUUCUACACAUUUGCACCGACCAGUAAUUUGCCCCAGUGUUUUGAUAACACAACCAAACAAUAUCAGUGUGAGUAUAUGGAAUCCACCUUAUAAUUUUACAGUCUAAUUUAAUGAUAUUGUUGAAAUGCACUGUACACUACAGCAUAUAGGGAAACUAAAUCCCCCCAAAGGAAAGGACACAACAACUAUUAAGGCUGAGGCAUAGAGGGCCUUAUACAAAACUCCUCACUCAUUCCCUACGCAAAGAAAACUCUCAUUGUCGUCAAAGGGAGUUUUAGCCAUGUAAGGAGUG